AUUGAACGCUGGCGGCAUGCCUUACACAUGCAAGUCGAACGGUAACGGGCCUUCGGGUGCCGACGAGUGGCGAACGGGUGAGUAAUGCAUCGGAACGUACCUUUCAGUGGGGGAUAACGUAGCGAAAGUUACGCUAAUACCGCAUAUUCUGUGAGCAGGAAAGCAGGGGAUCGCAAGACCUUGCGCUGAUUGAGCGGCCGAUGUCAGAUUAGCUAGUUGGUGAGGUAAAGGCUCACCAAGGCGACGAUCUGUAGCGGGUCUGAGAGGAUGAUCCGCCACACUGGGACUGCGUCACGGCCCAGACUCCUACGGGAGGCAGCAGUGGGGAAUUUUGGACAAUGGGGGCAACCCUGAUCCAGCCAUGCCGCGGGAGUGAAGAAGGCCUUCGGGUUGUAAAGCUCUUUCGGCCGGGAAGAAAUCGCACAGGCUAAUACCUUGUGUGGAUGACGGUACCGGAAUAAGAAGCACCGGCUAACUACGUGCCAGCCGCCGCGGUAAAAC
rnacentral:rRNA from 1 species